rnacentral:rRNA from 1 species
AUUGAACGCUGGCGGCAGGCCUAACACAUGCAAGUCGAACGAGUGGCGGACGGGUGAGUAAUGUCUGGGAAACUGCCCGAUGGAGGGGGAUAACUACUGGAAACGGUAGCUAAUACCGCAUACCAUCGGAUGUGCCCAGAUGGGAUUAGCUAGUAGGUGGGGUAACGGCUCCCCUCGGCGACGAUCCCUAGCUGGUCUGAGAGGAUGACCAGCCACACUGGAACGGAGACACGGUCAAGACUCCUACGGGAGGCAGCAGUGGGGAAUAGUGCACAAUGGGAGCAAGCCUGAUGCAGCCAUGCAGCGUGUAUGAAGAAGGCCUUCGGGUUGUAAAGUACUUUCAGCGAGGAGGGGUUACUCGCAGAAGAAGCACCGGCUAACUCCGUGCCAGCCGCCGCGGUAAUAC